GCGGCGAACGGGUGAGUAACGCGUGGGCAAUCUGCCCCCAAGUUGGGAAUAGCCCGCCGAAAGGUGGGUUAAUGCCGAAUGUGGUCGUCCCGCAUAAGCGGGACUGUCUAAAGGUGGGGAUCCUUCGGGACCUGCCGCUUGGAGAUGAGCCCGCGUCCCAUCAGCUAGUUGGCGAGGUAACGGCUCACCAAGGCUAUAACGGGUAGCUGGUCUGAGAGGAUGGUCAGCCACACUGGGACUGAGACACUGCCCAGACUCCUACGGGAGGCUGCAGUCGAGAAUCAUUCGCAAUGCGCGAAAGCGUGACGAUGCGACGCCGCGUGCAGGAUGAAGGCCUUCGGGUUGUAAACUGCUGUCAGGAGGGAAAAACGACCCGGCCGCGAAUAGCGGCAGGGAGUGAUGGUACCUCCAGAGGAAGCCACGGCUAACUCUGUGCCAGCAGCCGCGGUAAUACAGAGGUGGCGAGCGUUGUUCGGAUUUACUGGGCGUAAAGGGUGCGUAGGCGGCAUGGUAUGUCGGAUGUGAAAUCUCACUGUUCAACGGUGAAACGGCAUUCGAAACUGCGAUGCUCGAGUACAGGAGAGGAGAGCGGAAUUCCCGGUGUAGCGGUGAAAUGCGUAGAUAUCGGGAGGAACGCCGGUGGCGAAAGCGGCUCUCUGGACUGAUACUGACGCUGAGGCACGAAAGCUGGGGGAGCAAACAGGAUUAGAUACCCUGGUAGUCCCAGCCGUAAACGGUGUGCACUAGGUGUGGGAGGACAUUGUCCCCUCCCGUGCCGGAGUUAACGCGUUAAGUACACCGCCUGGGGAGUACGGUCGCAAGGCUAAAACUCAAAGGAAUUGACGGGGGCCCGCACAAGCGGUGGAGCAUGUGGCUUAAUUCGAUGCAACGCGAAGAACCUUACCAGGGCUUGACAUGCCCGUCGUACCCCGGUGAAAGCCGGGGGUCAGUUCGGCUGGACGGUGCACAGGUGCUGCAUGGCUGUCGUCAGCUCGUGCCGUGAGGUGUUGGGUUAAGUCCCGCAACGAGCGCAACCCUUGUGGUUAGUUGCUACUUUCGCCGAAAGGCGGGAAGCACUCUAAUCAGACUGCCUGUGAUAAGCAGGAGGAAGGUGGGGAUGACGUCAAGUCAGUAUGGUCCUUAUGCCCUGGGCUGCACACGUGCUACAAUGGCCGGUACAGUGGGAUGCGAUACCGCGAGGUGGAGCAAAUCCUCAAAACCGGCCCCAGUUCAGAUCGGAGUCUGCAACCCGACUCCGUGAAGCCGGAAUCGCUAGUAAAGGCGCAUCAGCUACGGCGCCUUGAAUACGUUCCCGGGCCUUGUACACACCGCCCGUCACAUCACGAAAGCCGACUGCACCCGAAGUCGCUGAUCCGACCCGCAAGGGGGGAAGGUGCCGAAGGUGUGGUUGGUGAUUGGGAUGAAGUCGUAACAAGGUA
rnacentral:rRNA from 1 species